rnacentral:rRNA from 1 species
UACGUAGGGUCCGAGCGUUGUCCGGAAUUAUUGGGCGUAAAGGGCUCGUAGGCGGUCUGUUGCGUCGGGAGUGAAAACUUACAGCUUAACUGUGAGCGUGCUUCCGAUACGGGCAGACUUGAGGUAUUCAGGGGAGAACGGAAUUCCUGGUGUAGCGGUGAAAUGCGCAGAUAUCAGGAAGAACACCCGUGGCGAAGGCGGUUCUCUGGGCAUUACCUGACGCUGAGGAGCGAAAGUGUGGGGAGCGAACAGG